rnacentral:lncRNA from 1 species
GAACUCACUGAGGCAGCCUGCCAUCUAGCUUUUUCACAGCAAAAUAGGCUUGCAGACUGCAGAUGAGAGACUCGGGAGCAGAGACAAUUUUAACUUAGCCAUCCCUAAUUUAUCUCAAGCUUUUUCAAUUCAUCUUCACUGCUCUGUGCACAUGGAACACCAGAUUGUCAACCCCUGGGAACUGAAUGCAACCAGGGAUCUAGAGAGCUGUCACAUCCUGAGAAAUAUUUAAAUUGUGCUGAUUUUCUUCUGGAGUGCUGAGCAGAGGGAAUGAAACUCUCCAUCAAGUCAUAGCUUUGUGGGCAAUAGAUCAGAGGAUACUGCCAGUUUUUCUAAUGGAUUAUUGUUAUCGGGCAGGUUCUUCCUGAAGAGUCAUUUUAGUGCAGCAGCUAUAUCAUGGAUUUUUUUGUGUGACCUUGAUAACUGCUGUCAAGCCCUUCAGAUAACUGCCAGAUUUGUCAAGGUUAAAAGGAAUUUGUAUUGUGGAAUUUCUAAUCAGACAACCAACCUGUUCUUUGAUUUGAUAAGUGUAC